rnacentral:rRNA from 1 species
UACGGAGGGUGCAAGCGUUAUCCGGAUUUACUGGGUUUAAAGGGAGCGCAGGCGGAUUGGUAAGUCAGUGGUGAAAUACUCGUGCUUAACAUGGGAACUGCCAUUGAUACUAUCAGUCUUGAAUAUCGUUGAGGUUUGCGGAAUGGGUCAUGUAGCGGUGAAAUGCAUAGAUAUGACCCGGAACACCUAUUGCGAAGGCAGCAGGCUAAACGAAGAUUGACGCUGAGGCUCGAAAGCGUGGGGAUCAAACAGG